CCUACGGGUGGCUGCAGCUAAGAAUCUUCCGCAAUGGGGGAAACCCUGACGGAGCGACGCCGCGUGGAUGAUGAAGGCCGUAAGGUUGUAAAAUCCUUUUGUUGGUGAAGAAUAAGCGGGGGAGUGGAAAGCCCCCGUGAUGACGUUAGCCGACGAAUAAGCGCCGGCCAAUUACGUGCCAGCAGCCGCGGUAAUACGUAUGGGGCAAGCGUUGUUCGGGGGCAUUGAGCGUGAUGAUCAUGUCGGCUGCGAAAACGCAAGGCCUAACCUUGUGUGUGCGCUGGAAACUGGUGGGCUUGAGUUCUUGAGGGGAAGCUGGAAUUCCAGGUGUAGGGGUGAAAUCUGUAGAUAUCUGGAAGAACACCGGUGGCGAAGGCGAGCUUCUAUCAGAGGACUGACGCUGAGGCGCGAAAGCGUGGGGAGCAAACAGGAUUAGAUACCCCGGUAGUC
rnacentral:rRNA from 1 species